rnacentral:rRNA from 1 species
GUCUACGGCCAUACCACCCUGAAUGCGCCCGAUCUCGUCUGAUCUCGGAAGAUAAGCAGGAUCGGGCCCGGUUAGUACUUGGAUGGGAGAAUCUCAGAAGUAAGUGACACCAUAGAGU